CUACGGGCCGCACCAGUAAGGAAUAUUGCGCAAUGGAGGCAACUCUGACGCAGCCAUGCCGCGUGCAGGAAGAAGGCCUUAUGGGUCGUAAACUGCUUUUAUUUAGGAAUAAACCCUCGCUCGUGAGCGAGGCUGAAGGUACUGAAUGAAUAAGCACCGGCUAACUCCGUGCCAGGCAGCCGCGGUAAUACGGAGGGUGCAAGCGUUAUCCGGAUUUAUUGGGUUUAAAGGGUGCGCAGGCGGGCUAUUAAGUCAGUGGUGAAAUCCCGGGGCUCAACUCCGGAACUGCCAUUGAUACUGAUAGUCUUGAGUUUGGUUGAAGUGGGCGGAAUGUAGCAUGUAGCGGUGAAAUGCAUAGAUAUGCUACAGAACACCAAUCGCGAAGGCAGCUCACUAAGCCAAAACUGACGCUCAUGCACGAAAGCGUGGGGAUCAAACAGGAUUAGAUACCCCCGUAGUC
rnacentral:rRNA from 1 species